CACGGGGGGAGCAAGCGUUGUUCGGAAUCACUGGGCGUAAAGGGCGUGUAGGCGGCCCGUUAAGACAGGUGUGAAAUUCCUGGGCUCAACCCCAGGACGUGCGCCUGUGACUGGCGGGCUUGAGUCCGGGAGAGGAUGGUGGAACUCCCAGUGUAGAGGUGAAAUUCGUAGAUAUUGGGAAGAACACCCGUGGCGAAGGCGGCCUCUGGACCGGUACU
rnacentral:rRNA from 1 species